rnacentral:lncRNA from 1 species
AAAUUUUCUUUUUUUGUUGUGUCUCUGCCAGGUUUUGGUAUCAGGAUGAUGCAGACCUCAUAAAAUGUGUUAGGGAGGAGUCCUUCUUUUUCUAGUGUUUGGAAUAUUUUUAGAAGGAAUGGUACCAGCUCUUCUUUGUACCUCUAGUAGAAUUCGGCUCUGAAUUUGGUUCCACUCUCCCCAUCACUUUCAGGUACACCAACCAAAGAAGCUCUCAUGGAAGAAAAAAGAAAAGCCCCAUAGGUGAAGGGGAGUGUGCCUGCCAAGUUCCUUGUAAUAACUUCACACGCAGAGUAUUUUCUGAAAUGGAUCUGCUAGAGUCAUCUCAUGGAAUCUUCUCAUUCUUCUGGAGUCUCCUCAUUUUACAGGAAAAACAUCCAGGCAAGUGGACAGCAUUUGCAACAGCCCAGCAAUAAGAAGGACCAUAUUCUACUUGGGAAAAGGUAAAGUCGUUUCAUAUGGACGGAGCCUGCCAGGAAACCUGUCAUUCAACCCUUUGCAAUAAAACAGCUCCUCAUGAAUGAAGCAAAAUAAAUCAGAAGUUGUGGGCUUUUAAACUCACUAAAUGAAAGCACAGCAUGCAUGCAGCCUCCCUCCAAAUUAAUCACCAGAUUAAAUGCAAGAUGUGCACACCAAAUCAAUAGCUUGUGACGGGGACCUCCUGCCUGUGCUUCAGGAAAAUUCCAUUUCCUUUCAGAUGUUGUCGCUUGAAAUGUCAGGAAGUUUCCAUUCAUCACCCGCCCUUGAAAAUGCCACCAUCACCAUACUUCAUGUUUCCUUGCUUUCUUUCUUCAGAGGAAUCCAAGCACCUUGCAGAGGGAGCCCACUCCUUGUCACAGACUCUCCUGGAGGCUGAAACAGGGGCAGUCUGCACAGAGGAGAGGUGUAGAGAGGCGCGAUUUAGAAAUAAGAAAACCAAAUCGUAAAGAAGCCUAAUGUCUUGUUGCAACAUCUGAAAGAAACAAGAUGAAUAUAUUCCACUAGGUGGGAAGCUUAGGGUAGUGGGAAGAACAUGGAUUCAGGACUUUGAGAAACAUGGAUUUAAAUUUUGAUCCCCAAUGCCUCUCUGCACUUCACUGUUAUCUAUAAAAUAGAGGAAAUAAAAAUACUAUACAUUCAAGUCUUAACACCAACAGUUAACUAGUUGUGUAACCUUGGACAAGUUAUGUGACCUCUCUGUCUGAGCAUUGUCAUUUGUAUAUGAGAUCAUGGAGGUUAAAUGUCCAACCUGUUGUCACUGUGCACCUCAAAAUAAUAAAUAAAACAUUU